UGGUGUGUGGGUCCAUGCUUGCAGCUGGGGAGGCUUCCCCGGGCACGGCUUCAGCCUGAGUUGAUGGACAUUUCUUUCAGUACAGUCAGGCUGUCUGAGUCACGGUGACUGAAAUAGAAGGACCGUGUAUGGAACUGAAACAAGGGGCAAGUGUCCUGAAACUCAUUCCCCUGAUACAGCACAGGGUGACCCUAAGGCCUGGGACACAUAAUGGAAGCCCUGCUGGUGGAGAGAGGUAGCCUGUUCUGCACCCUUCCCUGACGUCUUCUGAGGGCAAGCUGAGCCAGAGCCGCCCUGGAGGGCCAGUCCCUGUGAGCAGAAAUGCGUCAGUGCUUGCCAGCUUCUGUCGGGUUAGAGGCCAUUGUAAAACAGCCUCUCCAGAGCACUCGGCUUAGAAAGAGGCAGGGAGGGCCAAGGAAGAGUUUUAAACUGAUGGCAUCUCUGCGCAAGAUGCUAAACUCUGUCUCUUUUGGGUCCUUAUCUUCAGCUGCCACUUCCAGCUUCUGAAGGCUUGGGCUGAAUAUGGAGAAUCUAGCCAUCCUUGAACAGCCAUUGGAGUUUCACCUCAUUGGUGAUCUGGUUGCUGUACUUGGCAUGGAGGAGGUUGGGAGUAUCUGUCACAGCCGUGUACUUGAAUGACCCAGGAUGCUGGCGGUAUUUGCUCUGCGAAAGGAAAGAGAUAAGCGUCCCAGGAACAACACAGGGAACACCACGCAUGAAGUUCAAGUCCGAGCGGUACAGAUUCUACGAGGCAUAUAUAAACAUCAGAAGAUCCAAACUCUGCACAGAGAAGCAAGAGAAGCCAGGGUCUCUGGACACCAUCUAGGAGCGCAUGGCUAGGACCCCAGGCUGUCUGGGUCUGUCUGUACAGAUGUGGCACCAUUCAACAACGCGGCUCCUGCUUCUCUGCAAAGGCUUACCAGGGGAAAAUGUGGGUCAGAAGGAAGUCACUCGGCUGUCACUUCUCGAACAGGCAUAGGGAUAGGGAGCUGGGCAUGCCACCAGAGGAGUGAAGAUACCUCACAAGGACUAAGAGGACCCUGGGAGGACCCUGGGAAACAGCAAGAAGGUUUUCCAUCCAACCUGAGGCCAGGGACAAAUCCUGAAAACCCACAAACCCAUGUGGCAUCUCACCCCAUUCUCUCACAUACAGCUGACCCGAUUUAGAUGACUGAGUUCCCUCCCGUGUGUCCUCUACAACUUCUCUGAGUAGUAAGAACGAUUAGCAUAGGGAUAUUGUGGGGAUUAAAUGAAGUAAUUUCCAAAUACAACGCUUUGAAUUCAA